AUUGAACGCUGGCGGCAGGCUUAACACAUGCAAGUCGAACGAGAGGCGGACGGGUGAGUAAUGCUUGGAAAUCUAGAUUAUGGAGGGGGAUGACUACGGGAAACUGUAGCUAAUACCGCGAACAAUAGGAUGAGCCCACGUGGGAUUAGGUACGUGGUGAGGUAAAGGCGCACCAAGCCGUCGAUCUCUAGCUGGGCUGCGAGGAUGACCAGCCACACUGGGACUGAGACACGGCCCAGACUCCGACGGGAGGCAGCAGUGGGGAAUAUUGAGCAAUUGGGGAAACUUGACGCAGCCAUGCCGCGGGAAUGAAGAAGGCCUUAGGGUUGUAAAGUUCUUUCGGUAGCGAGGCGUUAACUACAGAAGAAGCACCGGCUAACUACGUGCCAGCAGCCGCGGUAAUAC
rnacentral:rRNA from 1 species